rnacentral:rRNA from 1 species
AACGAACGCUGGCGGCGCGCCUAAUACAUGCAAGUCGAGCGAGAAGGUGUAGCAAUACACUUGUAAAGCGGCGAACGGGUGAGGAAUGCAUGGGUAACCUACCCUCGAGUGGGGAAUAACUAGCCGAAAGGUUAGCUAAUACCGCAUACGUUUCCGGAACUUCGGUUUCGGAAAGAAAGCAAUACCGUGGGUAUUGCGCUCCUGGAUGGGCUCAUGUCCUAUCAGCUUGUUGGUGAGGUAACGGCUCACCAAGGCUUCGACGGGUAGCUGGUCUGAGAGGACGAUCAGCCACACUGGCACUGCGACACGGGCCAGACUCCUACGGGAGGCAGCAGUAAGGAAUACUGCGCAAUGGACGAAAGUCUGACGCAGCGACGCCGCGUGGGGGGAUGAAGGUCUUCGGAUUGUAAACCCCUUUCGGGAGGGAAGAUGGAGUGGGUAACCACUUGGACGGUACCUCCAGAAGCAGCCACGGCUAACUUCGUGCCAGCAGCCGCGGUAA